GUGUAUAUAUUAUAUAAGUGUAGUUACAGGAUGAAACAUAUACUUGUGGUGCCUUAUCUUCCCAAUAAUCUUUGUCAAAUGUCCCUUUGAAACAACCGAGGGCUUUGGUGUGUGUGUAUUUCGUACUUGUGCACACGAGUGUGUGUGUGUAAUGGUUGUCUCAAGGUUUCUAGGUUUAUCAUCAAUUAUAGUAAAUUAUGUGUGUGUGUGUGUGUGUGUG